GGGCCUGUAGCUCAGGCGGUUAGAGCGCACGCCUGAUAAGCGUGAGGUCGGAAGUUCGAGUCUUCCCAGGCCCA
rnacentral:tRNA from 1 species